UACGAAGGGGGCUAGCGUUGCUCGGAAUUACUGGGCGUAAAGCGCACGUAGGCGGGUUCUUAAGUCGGUGGUGAAAUCCUGGAGCUCAACUCCAGAACUGCCUUCGAAACUGGGAAUCUUGAGUCCGGGAGAGGUGAGUGGAACUGCGAGUGUAGAGGUGAAAUUCGUAGAUAUUCGCAAGAGCACCAGUGGCGAAGGCGGCUCACUGGCCCGGUACUGACGCUGAGGUGCGAAAGCGUGGGGAGCAAACAGG
rnacentral:rRNA from 1 species